GAGAGUAUAGCUCAAGUGGUAGAGUACAUGCUUAGCAUGCAUAAGGACCUGAGUUCAAUCCCCAGUACCUCCU
rnacentral:tRNA from 1 species